GGAGGAGUGGCAGAGCGGUUGAAUGCACUGGUCUUGAAAACCGGCGUCCUGAGUAAUCGGGACCGGGGGUUCGAAUCCCUCCUCCUCCG
rnacentral:tRNA from 1 species